AGUUUUUAUGAGAACACGACCAGGCUCAGUUAUUUGCCUGCUGUCCGGGCGCCUUUGCAGCUGCUCCGACAGACCGGAGACGUUUCAACCGAGACCAAAGCAGGCGGCCCAGCGGGGCCUGGACGACGCGGCGCUGCAGGCAACGGCGAGGCUGGAGCCCGUCCCGUGGCGUCGGGUGCAGCCGCCUCGCUCCGCGGGGCCGCGGGCCUCGGGCUCUCGCUCCGGAGGAAGCCGAGGGGGAGGCGGCGCUGCUGCCGGGCGGCUCCCAGGGCCGAGAGAGAUGUGCGGGACGAAUGGAGCUGGUUGGGGCGGGGGAGGCAUCCGGGGCCGCUUAGAGACCGCAGCCCCUGUCUGAAGUCCGUACCCGGAGCUCCGCCGCCGGCGCCGCUCACCUUCCAAGUCCAGCUUCAGCGGCCUCAGCCCCUCGGACGCUCCCAGGCGCCUCCCGGCGGCGGACUCGUUCUGAAGCCCCGCGGCGCGCGCCCGACGGCAGCAGGUGCCCCGGGGCGGCCAGACGCUGUCGCGGGGCUCGCGGGGCUCGCGGGGCUCGCGGGGCUCGCGGGGCUCGCGGGCGUCGGGGCGCAGGGGCGGACGUGGGCCGGCGCCAGGUACCCGCGGCCUCCUGCCCGCUGUUCCGCCGGGAGCGUGACGGGCGCGUGGAGCGCGUGGGGCGCGGACACGGGGGGCGGCGGCUGGUCCCCUGGAGCCUCCAGUCCGCCGGGGCCGGCGCGGGAACCCCUGAGGCGACGCGGCGGAGCAGGCGCGGCCGCGGGGAGGGGCGGGGCCGAGCGGGGGGCGAGGGCGCUGCGGGCGGUCUGGGUCCCGCCGGCGCCCGCGGGCCUCCCCGCGCGCCCUUCCCCCGGGGGCCGGGGCUCCCUCCGCGGGCUCCCGGGUGCGCCCCGGGCGGAGGCCCCCGACAGGCAGACGCCCGGCAAGUCGCCCGCGUUCGCGCCUCGUCCCCACGGGGAUUUGCCCCGCGGCCGGGAGGAGCCGCCGAGUCUCGGGCCUCCCGCGCGCCCGACCCCGCCCGGAGGCCGCCGCAGC
rnacentral:lncRNA from 12 species